GGCCGAUGGCAUCCUGCCUUGGAUCAGGGAAGGUGAGCAGGACUGUAGGAGUCAUCCUGCCCUGUACUUGGCACUGGAAGCAUUCUGCUGUAUAUGAGGGCCAAAAGCACCCCCCAAGUGCAUCUAGAGCCAAGGAGCAGCUCUGUCCUGCCUGGUUUUGAACUGUUUUGGAAGUUCUGCUACAAGUUGGUCAGAUAAUAUUCCCAGGGUUAGCAAACCUGUGGAAGAAAUCUCCCUGCUUUGUGGCUUGUAAGAUAGAUACUCCUGUAUCUGUCCUUGUGGCUCGGCGCAAGCAGCUCCAGCCCAAUUCUGGAGCAGCAGCUCUUCCUACAGGCAGCACAGACACAGCAGGAGCACUGACUGCGGAUCAGCUGAGCACCCUCUGAUGGUGCUGUUCCUUCCUCCAAAGGGGGACAAAAGCUCAUGUUUGCUGAAUUGUCUCAGGUUACCCAGCACUGGGAGCCUUCAGCAUUCAGGAAACCACAGGCUGGGAAGUAUUUACAGUCCUUGUGAUGCUCAGGUACUGCCUCCCUUUCCACAGCCUGGCUAUUUGAAAGAUCUGCUGGCAAAGGCUGGUCAGUAAUGAAGUGUGACAGCACAGCCAGCCUGCAGCAAGCAGCAGAAAUGGAAGGAUCCAUGUUAGAGGGGCAACAAGUGGGAAAGGGCUCUGCUUGCUGCAAACCCAUCACCUUGAUGCACAACCCUCUGUGCAGCAAGGUGCUCACAUUGCACCGUGCCUGGGGCAGGAGCACAGCGAUCCUCCCCCUCAGCACCAUGAGGAGAGAUUGAAGCAACGCUGUUCAAGCUGGAUGGAUGGAGGAUGCUGCUGCAGCAAUACAGAAUGCUACAGAACAGCUGGAGCAGCCCAAGUCCCGAAGUGCAGCUGAGCUCCCACGUGGCAGGAGCGCACAGUGACAGACAGACCUUACCCUGGCUGUGGGACUGGAGAGGAGCACCCUGCAGACAUUUAUUACCUGUAAGUACAGCAGCCUGACAGCUGGAGUGGGCUUUAAUUACUGCAGAGAGCUCUUCUGGGCACUUCUUGUUCAUACAGUCUGUUUGCUCGUGGAAGAAAGGGGACCUGUGAAUCAAUCUUACAAUUGAACUCAGUCCAGGCUCGCUCUCACAUACAUUCCUUUAGGUCCAUGGUGCUGCUAGCUAGAGACCAGACAAUGUUUAACAUCGAAUUACAAAGCCGGGUUUUCCUGGAAGGCGCUACAGAAGGUGAAACAGUUUCUGAGGUCCGGGCCGCAGCGCCAGCUGCCCUGCAGAGCUGCAGCUGUGGGAUGAAUUCUGGGUUACAGUGGUUUUAAGCCUGACCUCCCCAGAGCCUUAUCUGUCUGCAAGCUGCUUCAUUUCAGUCACUUAAUUCAGAUUAAGGAUGGCUUUUGCCAAACCAUAAUGAUCCUAGUUGAAAUAAAUACUCAAAUUCUGCGCUAGCUUGAUUCCAUUACCCUGCUACCCAGAUCCCUUUUGCAAGCCGGCCAUUAAACUUCACCUAAAAAAGGAAACAGCCCGAUGGUUUGCAAAAUGCUUUCCAGCAA